rnacentral:rRNA from 1 species
AGGGGUGAAUGCUUAGUACGGCGAGUGAGCGGCAAAGCUCAAAUUUGAAAUCUGGUACCUUCGGUGCCCGAGUUGUAAUUUGGAGAGGGCAACUUUGGGGCCGUUCCUUGUCUAUGUUCCUUGGAACAGGACGUCAUAGAGGGUGAGAAUCCCGUGUGGCGAGGAGUGCGGUUCUUUGUAAAGUGCCUUCGAAGAGUCGAGUUGUUUGGGAAUGCAGCUCUAAGUGGGUGGUAAAUUCCAUCUAAAGCUAAAUAUUGGCGAGAGACCGAUAGCGAACAAGUACAGUGAUGGAAAGAUGAAAAGAACUUUGAAAAGAGAGUGAAAAAGUACGUGAAAUUGUUGAAAGGGAAGGGCAUUUGAUCAGACAUGGUGUUUUGUGCCCUCUGCUCCUUGUGGGUAGGGGAAUCUCGCAUUUCACUGGGCCAGCAUCAGUUUUGGUGGCAGGAUAAAUCCAUAGGAAUGUAGCUUGCCUCGGUAAGUAUUAUAGCCUGUGGGAAUACUGCCAGCUGGGACUGAGGACUGCGACGUAAUCAAGGAUGCUG